GCCGUGGUCGCACCCGCCACGUAAAAAAGGGUGCAAAAACACAACUGCCAACGAUUAUUCUUACGCCUUGGCCGCCUAAAAAUUGUGCGGCCACGCUCUCAAGAGGUGUCUGCCCUCGCCCUCUUGAGGGUGUGACUUAGAGGGCUCUGGAAAUUCCGGGUGGCAAGACCGGAAUUUCCGAGAAAAUUCUUGCCUGGUAGAGGGCUUCGGUGCCUGUGACGAGCCCUCUACGAGAAAAACCCACAGGCUAAGCCUGUAGGGGUUUAAUCUGAACUAUCUCCGGACGCGGGUUCAAUUCCCGCCGCCUCCACCA
rnacentral:tmRNA from 1 species